CCUGGCUCAGAUUGAACGCUGGCGGCAUGCUUUACACAUGCAAGUCGAACGGCAGCGCGGGGGCAACCCUGGCGGCGAGUGGCGAACGGGUGAGUAAUGCAUCGGAACGUAUCCUGUAAUGGGGGAUAACGUAGCGAAAGUUACGCUAAUACCGCAUACGCUCGAGAGAGGAAAGUGGGGGAUCGCAAGACCUCACGUUAUAGGAGCGGCCGAUGUCCGAUUAGCUAGUUGGUGGGGUAAAGGCCUACCAAGGCGACGAUCGGUAGCUGGUCUGAGAGGAUGAUCAGCCACACUGGGACUGAGACACGGCCCAGACUCCUACGGGAGGCAGCAGUGGGGAAUUUUGGACAAUGGGCGAAAGCCUGAUCCAGCCAUGCCGCGUGAGUGAAGAAGGCCUCGG
rnacentral:rRNA from 1 species